AUACUUACCUGGCAGGGAAGAUACCACGGUCACAAAGAUGGUUUUCCCAGGGUAAGGUCACCCAAUGCACUUGGUGUGUCUUAACAAUUAAAUUAAAAAAAAAAAAGAAUUGAACCAGUGUUAUUCAUAUUGCCCACUUGGAACCUUUCCAUAAUAAUUUGUUAACUUUAAGAAUGUUCUCUUUUUUCUUUU
ensembl:snRNA U1 U1 spliceosomal RNA